GCGACCCCAGGUCAGGCGAGAACACCCGCUGAGUUUAA
rnacentral:rRNA from 1 species